rnacentral:tRNA from 1 species
GGAGCUGUGGUACAGUGGGUUAAUGCCCUGGCCUAAAGCGCCAGCAUCCCAUAUGGGCGCUGGUUCGAAUCCCGGCUGCUCCA